rnacentral:lncRNA from 10 species
GCAAGAGCUCAGUGUCCUUCCACAUUGUGUCACCGGUUGUACCCUGAGACAGAUUCUCCAAGUCUUAGAACAUGGAUAUGCAGUGAGAGUGAGGUUUACGUAGAAAAGUCUUUGUGUCUUGGGAGUGCCAUGUGUAUUGAAUGUCUAUGACUCAUGUCUCCCCUUGACUCACUUCUUGGCUGGGCUACAUGACUCAUCAGGCCUGGUAGGUUCAGGGCAGUGUAGCUGGUGGGGAAGGGCUAAGUGAAGAGGGGCUGUCUAGACCUGGGGAGCAUGGUUAUAAUGAGCUUUUUCAAACGUACAACUCAACUCUCUUGCACCUAGGAAGUAUCUUCAUCCAGAAGGAGUUCUCAGUCCUUUUUCUGAUUUUAACACUGCAGUCAACUGCAGACAAAGCCGCAAUCUUGUGACUUCACAGAGCCUCAUGGGCUUUUGAGUUGACCAACUUGAGAAAAAUUUCUGACUUGAUGCAUGAAAUGAAACGAAGGCAGGUGACACAUAAAGGAAAUGACAAGAAUUAUUUUCUUCAGCUUUGUCUUCCAAAGGACAAUGGUGUGAGGAGGACUUCAUCCUUGUGUAACACCCUGUGUGUGUGUUUUUCUUCUUUCUCUCACCAAAGCAUUUUUUUUUCCUCCCUUUUGCUGGAGGCCUGUCUCUUUCUCUUGAACAGAUCAACAAUCAGGUCGUAAAUGGGAGUUGGAGCCGGAUGAUCAAAAAGAACUUUAGAAAAAUGGGAAUAAAAGCAAGAGCUGAUGAGUUUGAAAUGAAAGCCCAUCUGGGAGAGCUCUUCUAAUGAACUCAGCCUACUCAAACUGUACAAAGAAAGCUGAAGAAUGAUUGCAGCUGCAAUCUCCAACCUACAUAAAGCACUAACGCUGGUAAGGUGAUGAAAGUGAAGGGAGGUAACUGGUAUCUGGAUUUGGAAGAGAGAAGUCAAAGGCCAUCACCCCCUUGUACUACUGCAUUCACCAUGUAAGUUCCUUCGGAAAUUUCACAGCCAAUCUGAAUUAAAGAGACAGCUGCAGAUGCUUCAGGAUGAAGGUCACACUCUGAAUUCUACGAAGAGCCCUAUGAUUCAAAAGUACCAUCUCUUUAGCCUCAGAGCAGUUGUAUACCACCUUCUCACUUGCUCUGUCCCUGGGCUAGUAUGGCUUUGAAAUUAUGUUAAAGAAGAGGCAUUUUCCCUCACAAAGACUCCCAAAAUAUGACUAUUAAGUGAAAGAACAGGUAGAGGGAGGGAAAGAGCUGAAUCUAAGUGGAGAUUAAUAAAGUGUUGUUUUGAAAUUGUUCCUUUAUUUUUCCUGGGUUAAUUAUCGCCAUUUAGUCACGACUUCCUGACACAGCACCAGAAAUUUUGUUGAAAUCUUAAUAUUCUGCAGGAAACUGACCUGACUACCAGCAGGAAUUAUAUUGACUAAUUAAUAAUGUCCAGUCUCCCUCAAGGAUAAGUCACCUCUGUCUGGCUCUAUCAUGGCCACUCUUAGAAUGAUGGUGAUGGUCCACUGAUUGUCACAUCCAAUGAAUUUAUCUGAAGUAUUUGUCCUAUGUAACCUCUUCAAAGCUUUCAGCGCCAGUCACCACCCAGUUUUCAUUUUCUUGUUUCUCUUCCUAACUCUCUCACAAUUUCUCAAUUUCCAUAAUUGUCUCCUCUUUCUCCAUGCACACUUUUAUACAUUGUUUUUCUCCAGGAUUGUACUUUUCUCCUGAUCUCACAGAGCACUCCUAAUACAGUGUUGGUUUUAUUUACAUUUAAUAUAAUUGAAAUCUGAAAUGGUAUACUCAGCUGCUCCAUGUAGAUAUUUGAGGGUACCUCAAAUUCAACAUGUCCUGAGCUGAAACUCAUCAUCUUCCACUUUACUUUGGUUCUUCUUCUAAAUUCCCUGUUAUCAGUUAAUGGAACUCUAAUUCAUCUAUAAAUUUAAGCUAGUAUCCACAGAAUUAUUAUUUUUGGGGGGGUGGGGGGUGGGGUACAGAGUCUCACUCUGUUGCUCAGGCUGGCUUGCAAUGGCACAAUCUUGGCUCACUGUAACCUCUGCCUCCCAGGUUCAAGCAAUCCUCCCAGCUCAGUCUCCUGAGUAGCUGGGAAUACAGGUGCAUGCCACCACACCUGGCUAAUUUUUGCAUUUUUAGGAGACACGGUUUCAACAUGUUGGCUAGGCUGGUCUCAAACUCCUGACCUCAAGUGAUCUGCUUGCCUCAGCCUCCCAAAGUGCUGGGAUUACAAACGUAAGCCACCACCCCCAGCCAAAGUUAUUCUUAUUUCCUUCUUUUUCUUCAUGUGUCUUAUGUAGUCAUAUAUUAUUUUACAUUUUUUCUAAUUUUUAAAAAAUUAUUUAAACAAAUUUUUAGCACACACCACCUUUGUUAUUCUCAUAAAUUGACCUCUACUCUCCAUCGUCACUUCCACUGCCUUUGUUCAGUGCCUUGUCAUUUGUUACCAGCAUCACUACGUAGAUUUCCAACUGGUGUUUUGGUCUGCGAUAUUGUAUCCCCUUACCCACAGCUAUUCCAUCUGUCUUUCAUAGUGAACAGAAUGUACAUACAUAAAGUUGAUCAUGUACUCAUCUUAUUUAAAUGUUCGUGGUCUUUUUACCUGUAAAAAUCCAAAUAGAUUAGUAAAACAUCAGUUCACUUAACCUAGCUUUCCAACCCCGAUCUCUUGACAUUACACUCCUUUUGCUAUGAAUUUUAUGCUUUAUUCAGACUUCAAUCUCACCCUUUCUAGAUCUGGUUUUUCCUUUUUAUUUAAAAUGUCUUGUUUGGCAAGCUCCUGCUUACUAUACAAAAUCUAUCUCAGAUGUGCCCUUCUCUGUGAUUCAUUCUCUCCAAUUUCCCUAGUUGAUUCUCAGCUUAUGCUAGCAUUUUAAGUCUUUGUUUUUCUGCUUUUCAUCACUAUUUUAAGAGUGGGCCCAAACCAUGUCUUCUCAACUUUUGCAUCUCUAUUGCCUAUCAAAGUUCCUUACACAAAGAAGUUUCUAGAUAAUUACUCAAUGGAUGAAUGAAUACAUGGGAGUCUUUUGCCUCUCAUCUCACAUUUAUAAGAGUGUCCCCACUCUGAUGUACCUUGAAGGUGGAAGAAACUUACUAUUCCAAGUGGUGUUGAAAGCGGAGAAGUUGUGACAGGACAAGAAGUGUUUUUCUAAUCUAAACCAGGUAUCUUAUUUCCCUAUAUUUGCUUCUAUCAUUUUCUCUACUCCUCUAGGUCUAGAAAAAUGAUGAUAUCUAUGAUACAUCUACGUUAUACUAUAAUAGAUAUGUGAAACUAAAUUUUUUGUCACUCUUUUAAAUUGUUUUAAAUUGACAUGUAAUAAUUGUGCAUAUUCAUUACAUGUGAUGUUUCAAUACAUAUAAUGUAUAGUGAUCAGAUCAGGGCAAUCAACAUAUACAUCAUCUCAAACAUUUGUCAUUUCUUUGUGUUGAGAAGGUUCAAUAACCUACUUUUAGCUAUUUGAAAUUAUAUAUUAUUGUUAACUCUAGUCAUCCUAUCUUGGUACAGAAUGCAUUAGAACUUAUUUCCCUUAUCUAGCUGUAGUUUUGUAUUCUUUAACAAAUCUCUUAUCAUCCAAACAGUAAAUUAAAAAAUAAAUACAAUAUGCAGGGGAAACUGCAUAACUCAAAUUCUAAAAAUAUGCUUAAGAGUGAAAACAAAAACUGAUUUCGAAUAUAUUGAUGCCCUUUCUGUAUUUGGUAGACUUAAAUAUGAACAUUUGUAUUAUCUUUUGUUAGUGUCUCUUGACUUAGAGGCUUAUAUUUAAGGAUCCCAAUAAAUAUUUUUUAAUCCAUACUCAAUGUCAUACUGAGGACUAACCACCUAUGAGUUUAUAGAGGGAUUGUGAUUAGAUCAUAAUCAGUUUUCUCACUGAUCUAUUGAAGCAGGUUAAUUUGGUCUCACAGAACUUUAAAAUUUUUUCUUUCUCUACUUCAUUUCACUGUGAAAUUAGCAAUUAUUUUUUCCUGUAAGGUAAUAAUAUGAUCAAGAAGAAAAACAGGAAGGCUGAUAAAGAGAUAUGUACAGUAGAAUUUUCUCCACUGAUCCUUUGUCUGGAAGGCAACUAAAAUUUAGGCAGUCCAGAUUCUUUCAGUCAACAGGAGGCACUGUAGUUAUUCAGAUAAAACUAUGUUUCAUUCCUUAAUUUUGGUAAAUACCAUCCUAUAUUUAUUUUCUUGGAUUAUUAUAAAACACAAUCUCAGAAUUCUGUAUAUCACAUCUGAAUCUGCAAUCUGAAUUAAGCAAAAGAAAAAACUUAGAAUGAGAUUAAUUUUAUUUGUCUAACUGACUGGGCUAAGUGGUGCUUAGACAGUUGUUUAAACAUUAUUCCUGGAUGUGUCUGUGAGGGUGUUUCUGGAUGAGAUUAACAUUUGAAUUGGUAGACUGAGAAAGCAGAUUGAUCUUCCCAAAUGUGGGUAGGCCUCACCUAAUCCAUUGAAGGCCUGAAUAGAAUAAAAGGCUAAGUAAGAAAGAAUUAUCUCUCAUUACCUGCCUUCAAGCUAGGACAUUAGUUUUCUCCUGCCUUCACACUUGGACUUGGACUGAAAUUACUUUCACACUAUCAGCUUUCCUGAGUCUUCAGCUUAUUGGCUGUAGAUUUUGAGACUUCUCAGCUUCCAUAAUCAUGUGAGCCAUUUUAAAAUUUUAUCUAUCUAUCUAUCUAUCUGUCUGUCUGUCUGUCUAUCUUCUAUGGGUUUUGUUUCUCUGAAGAAAUCAGACUAAUACAGUAAGUUUUAACAAAAUAUUUUAAGUAAGCUGAGCUUAGCUCAAUCAAAUGAAUAAUAAUACAUUAUUGUCUUUUAUACCUUGCUCUUUAUCACACUCUAAGAAGAUAUUUCUUAAAGUCCUUAUUCUCUUAUCCUCAAUCACAGUAUUACCCACCCCCCCAAAAAAAACUUUACUAAAGGAAGUUGCUGCUGUAGCUCAUCAACAUAUGUCCUUAUAUUUAAAGAAUAUUGGUGUGUAUAGCUUUAGUCAGAGGUGGAUUAUCUAGUUUCUUUACUAUAUUAAUCAUUGUAUUCUGUCCUGAGACUAGAAUAUACUGAUAUAAUAGACAGUGUAGACUGGGCACAGUGGCUCACACCUAUAAUCCCAGCAUUUUGGGAGGCCCAGGUGGGCAGAUCACUUGAGGCCAGGAAUUUGAGACCAGCCUGGGCAACAUGGCAAAACCCCUGUCUGUACUAAAAAUACAAAAAUUAGCCAGGCAUAGUGUCACAUGAUUAUAGUCCCUGAUACUUAGAGAUUGAGAUACAGAAUCGCUUGAACCUGGGAGGCAGAGGUUGCAGUGAGCUGAGAUUAUGCCACUGCACUCCAGCCUGGGUGACAGAGUGAGACUCCUUCUCAAAAAAAAAAAAAAAAAAAAAAAAGAAAGACAGUGUACAUAUCAUAUAUUUUUGUUCAUGUGUUCUUUCUGUGUCACUUCCUCUCAUUCCAUCUUUUUUUUUUUUUUUUGGCUAUAUUCUUUGCUUUGAGGACAUGAGUCAAUGUAAGAAAAUGGCUUAUUUAUAUAUCCUUCCCUUUUUGCUCUUAUGCAGUGUGAGUCCCUUAAAGUCCCUUAAUCUUUAUGAACAUUCUUCUGUCUAAAUAAGACCUUGUGCCAUGUCACACGAUGCUUCACAUUAAAAUUAUACCUCUGCUAGACUGUAAAAUUAAGGAAGUCAGAGUCCCUAAUUUAUUUUUUCUAAGUGUAUCAGUGCAGUAAUGAUUUGAGUGCACAAAAAUCCUACGGGUAUUCAAUAAAAAAUUCUGUAACAAUAAAGAUAAUUUCAAAAAUAAAAUUUCUGAUUUAUCAUUGUACCUUUGUAUAAUACCUGAAUCACAGAAUACUGUGACAGAGGGUAAGAAAAUAGGAACUUUAUGAAAUAUGCCCUGAGAGGACAGAAUCAGAGUGGAAGUGAUCAAAGAAUGCAUUGUUUAUUAAGUAGAAAGCUUUCUCUAAGUGAGCCCACGUAGAUUUCUUUCCCCAUC